UAAUAUGUAAAGGGAUCAUAGACACAAUUAAAGAAUAAAAACUGAAAUCUAUGGAAAAAAACAGUCUCCUGCCGUCCUGCGUCUCCUCACCGUCACCGUCAGAACGGAGCACAAAAAUAAAGAUAGUACCGUCACCGUCAAAACUCUGUUAUCGAGCCACCACUUGGUCUCGUCCACCGCAGGAAGCUGAUCUUCCACCAUCUUCGAUUCCUGCUUCCGGACUCCGGCUGUUAAAUAACCGGUUUAACAUAACCAGCGCGGAUCUCGCUAACUUGCACCCUCCGGACACUAUUGCGCACAGUUCUAUUCCGCAACCUAUGGCCACUGUUUCCUUCUCUUUCAUGUUUAAAAUUUAAACCUCGCCUGUAAAGAUUCACCGUUUGAUUAACGUGGGUUUGAGGGGAUAGAGACAACACCAGUGGAUAGCUAUAGCUUUG
rnacentral:lncRNA from 1 species